AAACUUUGGUCCUAGGCUAACUAUUAUCCCCCUCAAAGCUUAUACAUGCAAGCCUCCACACCCCAGUGACACACAGGUAUCAUGGCCUCCCACAAAACACCUGAGCUUCGCCACAUCCACACGGACCCGCAGCAGUAACCAACACUAGGCCAUGAGUUAUACACUCGACCAGGCCACAGAGACCCGGGUCGGCUAAUUUAUGUGCCAGCCGCCGCGGCUACACUGAAGACCCAAGAUAAUCCCCACGGCAAAAUUGACUAAAAGCCCGCCAUGAAACUAAGAACAAACCAAGUUUAACACGUAAAACAAUACUCACCAGAAAACCAAGACCUUAAUACUAAGGCGCUUUAACUCAUAAAGGUGGGGAAACAAACUAGGAUUAGACACCCUACUAUGCCCCACUAAAACCACGACCAAAAAAGUACGAGCGCAGCUUAAAACUUAAGGACCUGGCGGUACUCGACAUCAACCUAGAGGGGCCUGUCUAGUAACCGAUAGUCCACGAAAGACCCGACCUUUUCUAGCCAACAAAGCCUAUAUACCGCCGUCCACAGCAUAUUUUACAAAAAAUGCAGCCAAAUAGACAAUCGCCCUAACACGUCAGGUCGAGGUGUAGCACAUGAAAAGGAUAAGAUUGGCCACAGUACCCCACCAAAAUCAAACCAUGAUGAAACACAUAACUAACUACGGAUUUAGUAGUAAGGGGGCCAACGAACACCCCCCUGAAAUACACCGCUCUCGAGUACGCACACACCGCCCGUCAUCCUCUUUAACAAAUACAAGAGGCAAGUCGUAACAUGGUAAGUGCACCAUAAGGUGUACUUAGAAGA
rnacentral:ncRNA from 1 species